AGAACACAAACUACCUCUCCAGAGGCAGAGGAACAGCAGCGGGGACGACCGCGACUAAUCCAAUCAGGCACCAUAAUCAGUCCAUACACUUUCUAGUGGUUAAUCAGUCCUAAUAUUAAGGUUAUUAUCAACAAGAUCAUGCAUCACCAUCGCAUGAAAUAGCCACAAGACUGAGAAAUCAAUAAUGAAAUAUCUAUCCAAUCAUACAUUAUAUUUUAGAAAUCACCAAUAACAAGCAACCAAAUCACACAAACUUUCUAUGAAAUUCAAAUUCAGCACAACAUAACCAAAAACCCUAUAUAUUACCUCCUCCAAUACCAUGUCAAUACACCAGAAGCAAAAUAUUGACACCAUUUCAAUACACCAAUAACAUAACCAAAACCUUGUAUAUUGCAGCUUCACUGGGGCGUGAUGGUUGAUGCUAUUCCUUGAUCAUGAUUUUAAUUUCUUGUUGUCCUUUACGAUGUCCUUUCUUUGAUGGUUUAUUGGUGACAUCAUCCUGUUGUUCUAUUUCAACAUCGAGUGUGAUUUCUUUGAUUAAAAAUGUUACAUAUUCUAAAUGGAUUAGAUUCAAGUCAGAAGUUCAAAAGGAUGACCCUAUACAAACGGUACUCAGCAAUCUACUUUAGAUUUUAUGUUUAUUAGUACC
rnacentral:lncRNA from 1 species